rnacentral:lncRNA from 1 species
GGUGUUUGUGUCUAUAAAUGCUUCUCUGUACACACAUCAUAUGUGCUCAAUGCCAGUGGAAGACAGAAGAGGGCAUCAGCGUCCUGGGAAGUGGAAUUACAAAUGACUCUGAGCCCCUCGAUGUGGUUACUGAGAACUCAAUUGGAGAACUGUGCGAGAGGAACAAGCACACAUAGCUACUGAGCCACUUCUCUAGCCCCAUCGAUAAAAGUGCAAGGCAUAAUGUAAAAAUCUGAGUUGGGCACUGAUAUGACCAUGUGGGGACAGCCCUGGGGAUAUGGGCAGUACAUGCAAUGUGAGGUAAGUCAAUUUUAUGUCAUUACCUCUAGAGGGCUGGGUCCAGGGUUUGGUUUUCUCUGGCUGUGUUAUUUCCCAAGUUUCAUGAACCAUCACUCCUCUGGAGCAAGCAAUAAGUCAAAUUAUUCUGGCAAUGGGUAUUUCAUAGUUAAUUGUCUCCCUGCUCUAUGAACUCUGUGCUCUUCUAGUCUGAUUUCUACAUCUGUGGCUCUUUCGGCUCCUUCCUGUGAACCAAUGAGUUUAACUGAAGUUCUUUCUAGGAGCAUGGGUGUCUUAGUCACUGUUCUACUGUUGUGAAGACACCAUGACCAAGGCAACUCUUAGAAAAUAAAUCAUUUAAUUGGG